rnacentral:rRNA from 1 species
GACGAACGCUGGCGGCGUGCUUAACACAUGCAAGUCGAACGGUGAAGCGCCUUCCUUUUUGGUGGGUGUGGAUGAGUGGCGAACGGGUGAGUAACCCGUGAGUAACCUGCCCCCUUCUUCUGGAUAACCGCAUGAAAGUGUGGCUAAUACGGGAUAUUCUGGGUCUGUCGCAUGAUGGGUCUGGGAAAGAUAUUGUUUCGGUGGGGGAUGGGCUCGCGGCCUAUCAGCUUGUUGGUGGGGUGAUGGCCUACCAAGGCGGUGACGGGUAGCCGGCCUGAGAGGGUGGACGGUCACACUGGGACUGAGACACGGCCCAGACUCCUACGGGAGGCAGCAGUGGGGAAUAUUGCACAAUGGGCGCAAGCCUGAUGCAGCGACGCCGCGUGAGGGAUGGAGGCCUUCGGGUUGUGAACCUCUUUCGCCAGUGAAGCAGGCCUGCCUCGUUUGUGGGUGGGUUGACGGUAGCUGGAUAAGAAGCGCCGGCUAACUACGUG